CUACGGGAUGCAGCAGUGAGGAAUAUUGCACAAUGGGGGGAACCCUGAUGCAGCAACGCCGCGUGGAGGAUGACGCAUUUCGGUGUGUAAACUCCUUUUAUAUGUCAAGAAAAUGACGGUAGCAUAUGAAUAAGCACCGGCUAACUCCGUGCCAGCAGCCGCGGUAAUUCGGAGGGUGCAAGCGUUACUCGGAAUCACUGGGCGUAAUGGACGCGUAGGCGGGUUGGAAAGUCAGGUGUGAAAUCCUACAGCUUAACUGUAGAACUGCACUUGAAACUUCUAAUCUAGAGUAUGGGAGGGGGAGAUGGAAUUAGUGGUGUAGGGGUAAAAUCCGUAGAUAUCACUAGGAAUACCUAAAGCGAAGGCGAUCUCCUGGAACAUUACUGACGCUAAGGCGUGAAAGCGUGGGGAGCAAACAGGAUUAGAUACCCGGGUAGUC
rnacentral:rRNA from 1 species